rnacentral:rRNA from 1 species
GUAGGUGGCAAGCGUUGUCCGGAAUUAUUGGGGCGUAAAGCGCGCGCAGGCGGUUCUUUAAGGGUCUGAUGUGAAAGCCCACGGGCUCUACCGUGGAGGGUCAUUGGAAAUGGAGAACUUGAGUACAGAAGAGGAAAGCGGAAUUCCACGUGUAGCGGUGAAAUGCGUAGAGAUGUGGAGGAACACCAGUGGCGAAGGCGGCUUUCUGGUCUGUAACUGACGCUGAGGCGCGAAAGCGUGGGGAGCAAACAGGAUUAGAUACCCUGGUAGUCCACGCCGUAAACGAUGAGUGCUAAGUGUUAGGGGGUUUCCGCCCCUUAGUGCUGCAGCUAACGCAUUAAGCACUCCGCCUGGAGAGUACGGCCGCAAAGGCUG